rnacentral:rRNA from 1 species
GACGAACGCUGGCGGCGUGCUUAACACAUGCAAGUCGAACGGAAAGGCCCUGCUUUUGUGGGGUGCUCGAGUGGCGAACGGGUGAGUAACACGUGAGUAACCUGCCCUUGACUUUGGGAUAACUUCAGGAAACUGGGGCUAAUACCGGAUAGGAGCUCCUGCUGCAUGGUGGGGGUUGGAAAGUUUCGGCGGUUGGGGAUGGACUCGCGGCUUAUCAGCUUGUUGGUGAGGUAGUGGCUUACCAAGGCUUUGACGGGUAGCCGGCCUGAGAGGGUGACCGGCCACAUUGGGACUGAGAUACGGCCCAGACUCCUACGGGAGGCAGCAGUGGGGAAUAUUGCACAAUGGGCGGAAGCCUGAUGCAGCAACGCCGCGUGCGGGAUGACGGCCCUCGGGUUGUAAACCGCUUUCGCCUGUGACGAAGCGUGAGUGACGGUAAUGGGUAAAGAAGCACCGGCUAACUACGUG